rnacentral:rRNA from 1 species
AGCUCCAAUAGCGUAUAUUUAAUUUGUUGUGGUUAAAAAGCUCGUAGUUGGAUUUCGGCGGGGAUUGGGGGGGUUGAAAUGGUUCAAAACUGAAUUUUUUACCCGUGUGUUUUUCCAGAAUUUGACGGGUGACCUUAACCGAUUGUCCGUUAGAACUGGCUGGUUUACUUUGAAAAAAUUAGAGUGCUCAAAGCAAGCUUGACUGCUUGAAUAUUCGUGCAUGGAAUAAUAGAAUAGGAAGUUGUUUCUAUUUUGUUGGUUCUCGGAAAUCGACUUAAUGAUUAAUAGGGAUAGUCGGGGGCAUUUGUAUUCAAACGACAGAGGUGAAAUUCUUGGACCGUUUGAAGACAAACUACUGCGAAAGCAUUUGCCAAGAAUGUUUUCA